UACAGGGGGGGGCAAGCGUUGUUCGGAAUUACUGGGCGUAAAGGGCUCGUAGGUGGCCAACUAAGUCAGACGUGAAAUCCCUCAGCUUAACUGGGGGAACUGCGUCUGAUACUGGAUGGCUUGAGUUUGGGAGAGGGAUGCGGAAUUCCAGGUGUAGCGGUGAAAUGCGUAGAUAUCUGGAGGAACACCGGUGGCGAAGGCGGCAUCCUGGACCAACACUGACACUGAGGAGCGAAAGCCAGGGGAACAAACGGG
rnacentral:rRNA from 1 species